rnacentral:rRNA from 1 species
AUUUUAAAAGUUGCUUUGGAUAAAUAUGAAUAAAAAAUAAUAAAAAAGAUAAUUAAGAUAAGAAUUAGUAAUGUUUAAUAAAUAUUUCAUUUGGCUAUAGAUAAAAAGUACUGUGAAGGAAAUCUAAAAUAAAUAAAUUUUUAUAGUAAUUUUAAAUAAUUGUACCUUGUGUAUCAUGGAAAAUUUAAAUCAUUUAAAAAUUUUAAAAAUCUCGAAGUAAAUAAUAGCUAAUUUUAUAAAAAAGUUUAUGUUGUAAAAUAAAAUUUUAAUAUAAAAUUAAAGGUGAAAUAUUCGACGAGUUUUAUUGUAUCUGGUUUCUUAAGAAAUAAAUAUAAUUUAUAAUUUAGACUUUCAAAGUUUAAGGUUUAGGAGCAGGAGGGUUAAGCUUCUUGUUCGAAAAGGUCAUUAUAAUAGUUUAAAAUAGAAGGAAAAUUAUCUAAGCUUAAAAGUAGCUAUGAUAGUAAAGUGUUUAAAAUAAGUUAAAUAAUUAAAAUUAAUCAACUUUAAAUAGUAUUAAGAUAUUUAAGCAAACGAAAAAAAAAAAGUAAUUUUGAUUUUAUAAGUAGAAAGUGAUAUUAUAAUAAAAAAAUAAAAUGAAAAUUGUACUAUAAAUUAAUUAUAAUUACAAUUAAAGGAAUUCGGCAAAUAUAAUUUCUUGCCUGUUUAUCAAAAACAUGUCUAUUAUGAAGUUAUUUAUAGUCUGGCCUGCUCCCUGACUAUAAAGUUAAAGAGCCGCGGUAAUUUGACCGUGCAAAGGUAGCAUAAUCAUUAGUUUCUUAAUUGGGAACUUGUAUGAAAGGUCUGACAAAGGAAAAGCUGUCUUUAUUGUAAAGGUUGAAUUUAACUUUUAAGUGAAAAGGCUUAAAUGAUUUAGAGGGACGAUAAGACCCUAUAAAGCUUUAUAUAAAAAAUAAUCAAAAUUGAAUUUAUAAUAAAAAUUUAAAUUAAUUAUUAUAUUUUAUUGGGGUGAUAUUAAUAAAAGUAAUAUUAACUGUUAAAAAAAAAUACGUGAAUAAAAGAAUUGAAUAUAUUAAUGAUCCUUGUUUAAAGAUUAAAAGAUUAAGUUACUUUAGGGAUAACAGCGUAAUUCUUCUUAAGAGUUCAUAUCGAAAGAAGAGAUUUUGACCUCGAUGUUGAAUUAAAAUAUCUGUGUAAAGUAGCCAUUACAUGAGAAGGUCUGUUCGACCUUUAAAUUUUUACAUGAUUUGAGUUCAGACCGGCGUGAGCCAGGUUGGUUUCUAUCUUCUAAGAAUAAAGAAACCAUUUUAGUACGAAAGGAUUUAGUGGUUUUAAAAAUUAAAGU